CGUUCAGUUCAGCAUGUUCCGCUGCUCUGUAGUCACGCCCAUCCCCAGCACUUCUUUCCAGACGGAAGCUCGGUUCCCCCGUGUUCCUCCGUUGGAGUGGGAGGGCUCCAGGGGCUUCCUGGGGUGCAGUCAUGCUGUGGCUGCCCUUCGUGUCUGCCUAGUUCUACGUGGCACAGUGGGCUCCGGGUUCAUCCCCCCACACACAGGGCUUACUCUGUUGCUCAGGCCCAUCUUGCACCUCUGGGCUCUAGCGUCCCACCCGAGUAUCUAUGGGUGUCCACCACAGCUGGCAGAAUGUUCUUCUUUUGGAAGAUGAGUCGUAUUCAGCUAUAUGAGUAGAUCGCACUUGGUUCACCUGUUCAUCCUUCAGUGGGCCCUUAGCUUGCUUUCAGCUUCUGGCCCCUGUGAACAUGGGUGGACAGACAGCUAUCUCUUUGAGAACCCACUUUGGAUUCUUAGGGGUAUGUUCCCAGAGGUGGGAUUAUUGGGCCAUAUGAUGAUGCUAAGUUUUUUGAGAAACUGCCAACCUGUUUCCUAGAGAGCCCUCGUCUGUUUUGGCUACCAUUAUAAAGUGCUGCAGCCAGGGUGUGGGGUCUGUCAAACAGUAGUUUUUUGUCUGGACGUUCUUGAGGCCAAAUCUCCAGAUGUGCCACAGGUCUAGUUUCUGGUGAGGCCGUCUGUCUUCUCCGUGUCCUCGAAUGGUCAUUACUCUAUGUAUGUGUGUCCUAAUCUUUUCUUAUGAGGACACCAAUCCUGUAGGAUUAAGGUCCCGGCAGUGACCACAUUUAACCUAACCAUGUCCUUUAGGGCCUCAUUUCGAAGUCACACUGAGGUCAAGGACUGCGGUGGCCUGAAUGCCUAUUCAGCUGCUACAGCUCAAGAGUAACUUCCUGCAGGCUAGAAGUCCAAGGUCUAGGCAGGGCAGGUUACAGUGAGGGCUGCUGCCUGGAGGGGCAGGGACCUCCUGGGGUCCUUUUAUAAGGACUCAUCCCAUCAGGAGGCUCCCCUCAUGACCUCAUCAUGUCCCAGAGGUCCUACCUCCUGACACCAUGGCCUGGGAGAGGAUUUCAACCUAGGUGUGGAGAGGUGAGAAUGUUCAGUAUCCUGUGUUGAUACACUCCCAGCUCACGGACACCAAAGGAGUGACAAAAGGAACAGUCAUGUGGCUGUCCCCUCUGUUCCUGAUGGCCCACUUCUUACUGCCUCUUCCUUCUCCACAGUCUCUCACAUUUUGCUCUUUUGUUUGCUGGGCCCUGGGGAUGUUGGCUGAAGGCAUAGGACUCACCAUCUCCAUGUGUCUCCCAAGGACAAAGACAAGUGCCUAUACCUCUAGCCUCUGAGCAGCGACAUUGUGGCAUGACAGACACCACCUGCCUCUCAGCUACCAUCAUGCCCCCACUGGUCUCCUUCUAGCCAGUGUCACAC
rnacentral:lncRNA from 1 species